ACUUUCASCAACGGAUCUCUGGGCUCUCGCAUCGAUGAANAACGCACCGGAUUGCGAUAAGUAAUGUGAAUUGCAGAUUUUCAGUGAAUCAUCGAAUCUUUGAACGCACCUUGCGCUCCUUGGUAUUCCGAGGAGCAUGCCUGUUUGAGUGUCA
rnacentral:rRNA from 1 species